GAAUGUGAAGAUGUUGUUCCGACAACAUUGGAUUUUAUUCUAGUCCUAACCGAAGAGAAGGAUUAAUACAAGAUUUAUUAGUGGCCACCCAACGGUCGACUGACUCAACUCUCGAUUUCUGCACUCCACCCUCAUCACGUCGAGUCCUUUUCCCUUCUUUCUUCUUCUUCUUGUUUUGCUGCUUCCUGUUCUUCUUCGUUUCGCAUCCUCAAACCUCUCUCACUGAACUGAGAAAAGGGAAGGACGAAAAUGGUGGCUACUAAGCCGAAGAUAUCCUUCGAGGAAUGCCGUCGCAAGAGGCUGGAGGAGAACAAGAAGCGGAUGGAGGCUCUCAAUCUCCCUCAGCUCUCUCAAUCUCUCCGAAACUCCUCCUCUCCCAACUCCACCCCUAUGAAGCAGUCCAAGCCACGCACAGUAGAGAAGCAGAUGGUGGUGGUGAGGAGGUCCAGUCGCGUCGCGAACAUGCCCGCUCCUGUUUAUAGAGAGGUGGUGGUUGAUCGGGUGGCAGUGCCCAGAAGGAUUUAUAAGAGGAGGGAUCCGAUCAACCUGGUGUAUGCCUCUGCUGAGGCCAGGGAAUAUGCAAUAGAGAAGGCAGAGCAAUUGCAGUCCACUCUAGAACCUCACUAUCCCACCUUAGUCAAAUCCAUGCUCCCAUCUCAUGUCUCUGGUUGUUUUUGGCUGGGCCUUCCUGUCCACUUUUGCAAGACAAGCCUUCCUAAGAAUGACGGGGUCAUGACGUUGGUCAACGAAGAUGGUAAAGAAUUCCCGACAAUAUAUUUGGCGCGGAAGACAGGACUCAGCGGAGGGUGGAAAGGGUUCUCUGUGGCUCAUGAGCUAACUGAUGGAGAUGCUGUAGUUUUCCAGUUAAUUAAACCAACCGCAAUGAAGGUUUACAUCGUACGAGCGGAUGGCUUCGACAAGAGUGAGGAGCCCUAAGUAGAUUAGUAACAUGGUUGCUCUGCAAUCCCAUUUUGGAUAUAACCAUGGUUGCACGUUGCAUUGUAAGGUCGUCCUGCUACGAGAUUUUGCCGUUGGGUUGGUCCUGAAUUCGGUCACAGGAGGCGAAAUGUAACUUAAUCUAGAGAUAAGGCACCAAGCGGUUAAAUCAGCUAGUCAAUUCGUUGUGCAGUAGGUCUGUUUUUUGGCUUGUAAAUUGAGCAUACUAUUAGUAUUGCUCUGCUCGGCGGUUGUGUAGUCUAAAGUUUCGCAACUCAGCAGGACAUUGUCCAAGAAUUCAAUUGCAAUUCCCAGAAACAGUCAACCC